rnacentral:rRNA from 1 species
ACAUGCAGUCGACGAUGAUGCCCAGCUUGCUGGGCGGAUUAGUGGCGAACGGGUGAGUAAUACGUGAGUAACCUGCCCUUGACUCUGGGAUAAGCCUGGGAAACUGGGUCUAAUACUGGAUACUACCUCUUACCGCAUGGUGGGUGGUGGAAAGGGUUUUACUGGUUUUGGAUGGGCUCACGGCCUAUCAGCUUGUUGGUGGGGUAAUGGCUCACCAAGGCGACGACGGGUAGCCGGCCUGAGAGGGUGACCGGCCACACUGGGACUGAGACACGGCCCAGACUCCUACGGGAGGCAGCAGUGGGGAAUAUUGCACAAUGGGCGGAAGCCUGAUGCAGCGACGCCGCGUGAGGGAUGACGGCCUUCGGGUUGUAAACCUCUUUCAGUAGGGAAGAAGCGAGAGUGACGGUACCUGCAGAAGAAGCGCCGGCUAACUACGUGCCAGCAGCCGCGGUAAUACGUAGGGCGCAAGCGUUGUCCGGAAUUAUUGGGCGUAAAGAGCUCGUAGGCGGUUUGUCGCGUCUGCUGUGAAAGCCCGGGGCUCAACCCCGGGUCUGCAGUGGGUACGGGCAGACUAGAGUGCAGUAGGGGAGACUGGAAUUCCUGGUGUAGCGGUGAAAUGCGCAGAUAUCAGGAGGAACACCGAUGGCGAAGGCAGGUCUCUGGGCUGUUACUGACGCUGAGGAGCGAAAGCAUGGGGAGCGAACAGGAUUAGAUACCCUGGUAGUCCAUGCCGUAAACGUUGGGCACUAGGUGUGGGGGACAUUCCACGUUUUCCGCGCCGUAGCUAACGCAUUAAGUGCCCCGCCUGGGGAGUACGGCCGCAAGGCUAAAACUCAAAGGAAUUGACGGGGGCCCGCACAAGCGGCGGAGCAUGCGGAUUAAUUCGAUGCAACGCGAAGAACCUUACCAAGGCUUGACAUUCACCGGACCGCCCCAGAGAUGGGGUUUCCCUUCGGGGCUGGUGGACAGGUGGUGCAUGGUUGUCGUCAGCUCGUGUCGUGAGAUGUUGGGUUAAGUCCCGCAACGAGCGCAACCCUCGUUCUAUGUUGCCAGCACGUGAUGGUGGGGACUCAUAGGAGACUGCCGGGGUCAACUCGGAGGAAGGUGGGGAUGACGUCAAAUCAUCAUGCCCCUUAUGUCUUGGGCUUCACGCAUGCUACAAUGGCCGGUACAAAGGGUUGCGAUACUGUGAGGUGGAGCUAAUCCCAAAAAGCCGGUCUCAGUUCGGAUUGAGGUCUGCAACUCGACCUCAUGAAGUCGGAGUCGCUAGUAAUCGCAGAUCAGCAACGCUGCGGUGAAUACGUUCCCGGGCCUUGUACACACCGCCCGUCAAGUCACGAAAGUUGGUAACACCCGAAGCCGGUGGCCUAACCCCUUGUGGGAGGGAGCCGUCGAAGGUGGGACUGGCGAUUGGGACUAA